rnacentral:rRNA from 1 species
CCCUUAGAUGUUCUGGGCAGCACGCGCGCUACAAUGGUCUUCGCAAACGGAUGCAUUCUCGAAGGAGAAUGCCAAUCUUGGAAUCUAUGCCUUGGUCGGGACAGUUGCUUGCAAUUUUUCGACUCGAACCAGGAAUUCCUUGUAAUCGUGAUUCAUCACAUCACGAUGAAUACGUCCCUGCCCUUUGUACACACCGCCCGUCGCUCCUACCGAUCGAAGAGUUAGGUGAAUUGUUUUGAUCGACAAGAUUUGACUAUGGUCAACUCUCGUUGUGAAAUUCUGUGAAUCUGACUGUUUAGAGGAAGGAAAAGUCGUAACA